UUAGAAUUAUUUUAAUAUAAAAUUUAAAUUUGUCAAAUUUAAAAUAAAAUUUCUUUUUAUUCUUAU
rnacentral:tRNA from 1 species